GUUGACUCGGUUUAUAUUAAGCAGAAUAGAAACCUGAGCUUAAGAGUUGAGCUCCUGGAUAUCAAAAAGGAAAUCCUUGUCAGAGACUCAUUCCUAUAGUAGGAGGUCCCAAAGUCCGGACGUCAAUUGACCCUCCACCACUCGAGUUCAC